rnacentral:rRNA from 1 species
AUGGCUAGAAGACUCAAGGGAUGGAAAGGCAAACUGAUGACAAAACCGGGAAGACUUGACCUAAUAAAUUCUGUGCUUACGUCCAUGGCAACCUAUUUCUUAACAAGUUUCGCAGUCGACAAAUGGACGAUAAAGAAGAUGGAAAAGAUUCAGUGCAACUUCCUUUGGAAUGGUGAUGAGGAGUGCAGUGGGGCCAAGUGCCUUGUCAGCUGGAAGAGGGUCUGCUCCCCAAAGGAUGUGGGCGGCCUUGGAAUCAAAGACAUUGCUUGCUUUAGCAGGGCGUUGCGGCUGCGUUGGGCUUGGCUAGAGUGGAGCCUCACUUCUAGGCCUUGGCAGGGCUCCCCCAUCCCAUGCGAUUGCACGGACAUGCUACUUUUCUCUGCUUGCACGGAGAUUACA